AUGGCCAGGUAUUUCUAGAACAGUAAAAUCGAUAGGCGUUCGAUGCAUUGGCUUUCUUGGAAGAAAUUAGCCACCCCGAAAGAAGCAGGGGGGAUGGGGUUUCGGGAUCUCAAGGCUUUUAACCUUGCUCUGUUGGGAAAGCAUGGCUGGAGGUUUCUGUUACACCCUGAGAGUUUGUGCUCUCGAGUUAUGAAGACUAGAUACUUCCCAGAUUCAGACUUAAUGGUUGCCACAAUCCCGAACACGACAUCACCUAUCUGGAGAGCGAUUGUUGCCUGCCGCAAUGCCUUGAAGCUUGGUUUGAUCAAGAGGGUGGGAGAUGGUUCCACGAUCUCCAUCUGGGAGGACAAGUGGAUC
rnacentral:rRNA from 1 species